AGAGUUUGAUCCUGGCUCAGAACGAACGCUGGCGGCGCGCUUAAUACAUGCAGGUCGUGCGAGAAAGUACCCUUCGGGGUGCGAGUAAAGCGGCGAACGGGUGAGUAACACGUAAGUAACCUACCUUCAAGUUCGGAAUAACCUUGCCAACGCGGGGAUAAUACCGGAUGUGGUCACGUUGUCUUAUGGCAGUGUGACUAAAGCAGACCUCUACUUGUAAGUUUGUGCUUGAAGAUGGGCUUGCGGCCCAUUAGCUAGUUGGUGAGGUAACGGCCCACCAAGGCUUCGAUGGGUAGCCGACCUGAGAGGGUGAUCGGCCACAUUGGGACUGAGAUACUGCCCAGACUCCUACGGGAGGCAGCAGUAGGGAAUUUUGCGCAAUGGACGAAAGUCUGACGCAGCGACGCCGCGUGAGCGAUGAAGGUCUUCGGAUCGUAAAGCUCUGUUGGGUGGGAAGAAAAAACCUGGAAGUAAUAUAUUCAGGCCUUGACGGUACCACUCGAGGAAGCCCCGGCUAACUACGUGCCAGCAGCCGCGGUAAUACGUAGGGGGCAAGCGUUGUUCGGAAUCACUGGGCGUAAAGGGAGUGUAGGCGGAAGGGUAAGUUAGAAGUUAAAUACAUAGGCUCAACCUGUGAUCUGCUUUUAAUACUGCUUUUCUUGAGUAUGGGAGAGGGUGAUGAAAUUCCAGGUGUAGCGGUGAAUGCGUAGAUAUCUGGAAGAACACCAGUUGCGAAGGCGGUCACCUGGCCCAAUACUGACGCUGAGGCUCGAAAGCUAGGGGAGCGAACAGGAUUAGAUACCCUGGUAGUCCUAGCCGUAAACGAUGGGUACUAGUUGCUGGAGGAGUCAAUCCUUUCAGUGACGAAGCUAACGCAUUAAGUACCCCGCCUGGGGAGUACGCUCGCAAGGGUGAAACUCAAAGGAAUUGACGGGGGCCCGCACAAGCGGUGGAGCAUGUGCUUUAAUUCGAUGCAACGCGAAGAACCUUACCUGGGUUUGACAUGGGAAUGAAAGCCACCAGAGAUGGGGGCCCUUCCGCAAGGAACAUUCUACACAGGUGCUGCAUGGUUGUCGUCAGCUCGUGUCGUGAGAUGUUGGGUUAAGUCCCGCAACGAGCGCAACCCCUGUCCUUAGUUGCCAUCAGGUAAAGCUGGGAACUCUAAGGAGACUGCCUGUCGUAAACAGGAGGAAGGUGGGGAUGACGUCAAAUCAUCAUGGCCCUUACGCCCAGGGCUAGACACGUGCUACAAUGGCCGGUACAAUGGGAUGCGAACCUGCGAGGGUAAGCUAAUCCCUCAAAACCGGUCUCAGUUCGGAUUGGAGUCUGCAACUCGACUCCAUGAAGUUGGAAUCGCUAGUAAUCGCGGAUCAGCAUGCCGCGGUGAAUACGUUCCCGGGCCUUGUACACACCGCCCGUCAAGCCAUGAAAGACGGUAGUGCCCGAAGUCGCUCGCCUAACCGCAAGGAAGGUUGCGCCUAAGGUAAGACCGUUGAUUGGGGCUAAGUCGGAACAAGGUA
rnacentral:rRNA from 1 species